ensembl:lncRNA
CCUAAGUCCUACACCUAACACCUAAGUCUAACCCAAAGUCUCAGAGUCUACCUUACCUUCACACCUACCUGUUGCACUUAGCUUCAAGUGGGAUCUGUGUCCUGGUAAUGUUGAAUCAAGGCACACCACUGAAUUAGAUUGCACAAGUAUUUGUUCAUUACAGCACUGUUUCCUCAAGACAUGACUCAUACAAUUGUAUGCACACUACAGCAAUGCCUACAUGUUGACAAACAAAACAUGAAUACACUGAUUCCAUACAAUUGCAAGACACCGUUUACAGGCGCAGCACCCGCGCACUCCAUACAUUUUAAGGCAUGGUUUACAUAUAACACAUAUGUCCGAUUCACAAGACAAAGGUCACAAAGCCUCCAUAUCCAAUAAAUAACAUUACAUUUACACUAAUAUUGUGUACUGCAACCCACCUCAAGAGCAGAGCACAUCUCAGCCCACCUGAAGUAAAUGCAAGCCUCAGACAGGCCGGGAAGGAGCGCAAAUGGGCUCUGUUGGUUACGGGGUUGGGUUAGCCCUGCGGUACAAACAAACAAAGCAAAGCUAACCCAACCCCGUAAGCAAGGCUAAGCUAAAGCCAAUUUGGCUGAGAUCAAUUGAUUGCAAAGCUAAAGCCAAUUUGGCUGAGAUCAAUUGAUUGCAAAGCUAAAGCCAAUUUGGGCAAGACAAAUUGACUGCACCUGCCAAAAUCGGCACAACUCUCAGAAUGGCCGCAAAGGGGCGCGAGUCUCAGACUGGCCGGGAAGGAGCGCAAAUGGGCUCCAAUGGCCUCAGGCGUUGGUUACGGGGUUGGGUUAGCCCUGCGGUACAAACAAACAAAGCAAAGCUAACCCAACCCCGUAAGCAAGGCUAAGCUAAAGCCAAUUUGGCUGAGAUCAAUUGAUUGCAAAGCUAAAGCCAAUUUGGGCAAGAUCAGUUGAUUGCAAAGCUAAAGCCAAUUUGGCUGAGAUCAAUUGAUUGCAAAGCUAAAGCCAAUUUGGGCAAGAUCAAUUGACUGCACCUGCCAAAAUCGGCACAACUCUCAGAAUGGCCACAAAGGGGCGCGAGUCUCAGACUGGCCGGGAAGGAGCGCAAAUGGGCUCCGAAGGCCUCGGGCGUUGGUUACGGGGUUGGGUUAGCCCUGCGGUACAAACAAACAAAGCAAAGCUAACCCAACCCCGUAAGCAAGG